rnacentral:rRNA from 1 species
UACGGAGGUUCCAAGCGUUGUUCGGAAUUACUGGGCGUAAAGGGGGCGCCGGCGGCCUGGUCAGUGGAAAGUGGAAGCCCGGGGCUCAACCUCGGAAGGCCUUUCCAUACUGCCUGGCUUGAGUUCGUGAGAGGGAAGCGGAAUUCAGGGUGUAGCGGUGAAAUGCUUAGAUAUCCUGAGGAACACCGAUGGCGAAAGCAGCUUCCUGGCACGAUACUGACGCUCAUGCCCGAAAGCGUGGGAGCGAACAGG